ACAGAGGUUCCAAGCGUUAGGCGGAAUCACUGGGCUUAAAGCGUGUGUAGGCGGACUUCUAAGUACCUUGUGAAAUCCCACGGCUCAACCGUGGAACUGCUUGGUAUACUGGUUGUCUUGGGCCAUCUAGGGGCUAGCGGAACAAACGGUGGAGCGGUGAAAUGCGUAGAUAUCGUUUGGAACGCCAAUGGUGAAAACAGCUAGCUGGGGAUGUGCCGACGCUGAGACACGAAAGCCAGGGGAGCGAACGGGA
rnacentral:rRNA from 1 species